rnacentral:rRNA from 1 species
AUUGAACGCUGGCGGCAGGCCUAACACAUGCAAGUCGAGCGGAUGAAGGGAGCUUGCUCCUGGAUUCAGCGGCGGACGGGUGAGUAAUGCCUAGGAAUCUGCCUUGUAGUGGGGGAUAACGUCCGGAAACGGGCGCUAAUACCGCAUCCGUCCUGAGGGAGAAAGUGGGGGAUCUUCGGACCUCCCGCUAUCAGAUGAGCCUAGGUCGGAUUAGCUAGUUGUUGGGGUAAAGGCCUACCAAGGCGACGAUCCGUAACUGGUCUGAGAGGAUGAUCAGUCAAACUGGAACUGGAACACGGUCCAGACUCCAACGGGAGGAAGCAGAGGGGAACAUUGGACAAUGGGCGAAGGCCUAAUCCAGCCAUGCCGCGUGUGUGAAGAAGGUCUUCGGAUGGUAAAGCACUUUAAGUGGGGAGGAAGGGCAGUAGGUUAAUACCUUGCUGUUUUGACGGUACCAACAGAAUAAGCACCGGCUAACUUCGUG